AGAGUCACUCCUACGGGAGGCAGCAGUGGGGAAUCUUGCGCAAUGGGCGCAAGCCUGAUGACGCAACGCCGCGUGGAGGAUGAAGAUCUUCGGGUCGUAAACUCCUUUCGAUCGAGACGAACGGCCUCUGGAUGAACAAUCUGGAGGAGUGACGGUACCGAGAGAAGAAGCCCCGGCUAACUCUGUGCCAGCAGCCGCGGUAAUACAGAGGGUGCGAGCGUUGUUCGGAUUUACUGGGCGUAAAGGGCGGGUAGGCGGCCACCGCAAGUCAGUUGUGAAAUCUCUGGGCUUAACCCAGAAAGGUCAACUGAUACUGCGGGGCUAGAGUGCAGAAGGGGCAACUGGAAUUCUCGGUGUAGCGGUGAAAUGCGUAGAUAUCGAGAGGAACACCGGUGGCGAAGGCGGCUACCUGGACCGGCAUUGACGCUGAGGCGCGAAAGCCAGGGGAGCGAACGGGAUUAGAUACCCUGGUAGUCCACGCUGUAAACGAUGUGUGCUGGAUGUUGGGUGACCUAGUCACUCAGUGUCGUAGCUAACGCGAUAAGCACACCGCCUGGGGAGUACGGCCGCAAGGUUGAAACUUAAAGGAAUUGACG
rnacentral:rRNA from 1 species